UGCAGUCGACGCCCCGCAGGGGAGUGGCAGACGGGUGAGUAACGCGUGGGAAUCUACCGUACCCUACGGAAUAACGCAUGGAAACGUGUGCUAAUACCGUAUACGCCCUACGGGGGAAAGAUUUAUCGGGGUAUGAUGAGCCCGCGUUGGAUUAGCUAGUUGGUGGGGUAAAGGCCUACCAAGGCGACGAUCCAUAGCUGGUCUGAGAGGAUGAUCAGCCACAUUGGGACUGAGACACGGCCCAAACUCCUACGGGAGGCAGCAGUGGGGAAUAUUGGACAAUGGGCGCAAGCCUGAUCCAGCCAUGCCGCGUGAGUGAUGAAGGUCUUAGGAUUGUAAAGCUCUUUCACCGGAGAAGAUAAUGACGGUAUCCGGAGAAGAAGCCCCGGCUAACUUCGUGCCAGCAGCCGCGGUAAUACGAAGGGGGCUAGCGUUGUUCGGAAUUACUGGGCGUAAAGCGCACGUAGGCGGAUAUUUAAGUCAGGGGUGAAAUCCCAGAGCUCAACUCUGGAACUGCCUUUGAUACUGGGUAUCUAGAGUAUGGAAGAGGUGAGUGGAAUUCCGAGUGUAGAGGUGAAAUUCGUAGAUAUUCGGAGGAACACCAGUGGCGAAGGCGGCUCACUGGUCCAUUACUGACGCUGAGGUGCGAA
rnacentral:rRNA from 1 species